rnacentral:RNase_P_RNA from 1 species
GGGUAAGGGUGGAAUGGCGGUGUAAGAGACCACCGGUUUUCCGGUAACGGAAAAUGCUGUGCAAACCCCACCUGAAGCAAGGCCAAACAGGGGACCAUACGGCGGCCCGUCGUGUCUCCGGGUAGGCCGCGUUCCGGAAUGGCAACAUUUCGGAGGAGCUGUCCGGUGACGGACAGUCAAGAUAGAUGACCAUCUAUUACAUAACCCGGCUUAUAGUGCUGCUCUAAAA